AUGAGGGUGCUGGGCAGGCACGUCUCCCCGAGGCAGAUCGCGCUGCUCGCCGCAGGGCUGGUGUUCUUUGGGGCGACGACGUACGACGUGCACCGCUCCAUCAAGAACAACGACCAGCCCCCGACCAGGGAGCAGGUGGCGGCGCUGCAGGACUUCAUCGACUCCAGGAAGCGCUAA
rnacentral:rRNA from 1 species